UCCUUGGUCAUUUCUUCCACAGGUUCAGAGGUGGAAAGCAGCUUGAGAAGGUGGCUGUAUUUCCGAAUGUGCACCUAACUGAGCCAUCCUGCUUACCUACCGGGGAGGGGUUGUCUUCUUGCCUCCUCUAGAACUGCCACUGGCUUGACUCCAAUGUAAUCCUUUAUAGUUAUAGGUAGAAGGAAGAAGUGAAGAGAGCCAGCAGCUGAUUUCUGUGGCUUGGAAGUGCCUUUGUGUUCUACUACCUACUGAGUGGGGUGGAAAAGCAGCAUUCAGUGAAGCUGAGACCACAGCUGAGAAGCAACCUGACCUGCCUGACAGUUGGGUAGAGCUGUGAGUUUGGUACUUAACAUCCAGCAUGUUUCAACGCCUCUGAGAUAAAAUGGUUCAUAGCAGUCACACCUUCACAGCAUGAGAACUUGGGCCUAGAGUAGCUCACAGGAAGGAGCCAGCCAGGGACUGGGAGGUGGAGAUACCCAGUAAGGAUAACUGCACUCUAGCUGUCAGGAGGGCCAGAGAGUACAGACUCCAUGUACUGUGAAAUUCCCUAGAAGGUGACCUUAAGUCUUUGCCAGGAUGUCUGAGAAUGUAUGGAGAGAAAUAAAUGAAAGAGGGUGACAGGGGUAGGGCUCUGGCCAAGGAAGGACAGGAACCAUGCUUGGCAUGCCACAUCUGCAGGGUAACUGCUGGGGUUUUGGGUUCUACGGUUUGCCUCAUAAUUCUCCCUUUAUUGGACACAGCCUCCAGAAAGGAGAAGCAGGACCUUCAUCAGUUUCACGUGAAGCAAUGAGAAUCCACCCCAGUAGACGGGUGAAGCUGCUGGCCGAGGAUAUGACACUGCUGUCACAAGAUAUCCAUGCCAACACUUCACUUCCGAGAGUGGAGAUGACGCUGACCUUCAAGAGUGUCGUGAGAGGCAUUUUCGUCCUCCCAGCUGCAGAGACCUCCCCUCAGAGUUGCUGCUAUUGGGGGUGGGCACAGCAACAGGUUCCCUCUCUUUCCCUGGCCUCAGCUUUCCUCCAGUGCUUGGAUUGGGAGUUAGACAUUCUUCAAUGCAAUCAAGCUAAGAGGCUUCCUCUUAAUAAUUUAUAAUUAAAUCAAAAUACUGAUUAAAAACAGAGUUUCCUAAGAGGAUGGAAUACCAAUCUGAACGAGCAGAUUUAUUAUUGAGAGGGAUAAUAAGUACACAAUUGAAUUUCAUGUGAACAUAUUCAAGACAUCUUAUCAUGAUGAAUCAAUGCACAAAAUGUAUUUGGUUGCCAUUUAUAGCGCGCAGCUGCUGCCUCUCUUGGUACUCCAGGAAAGGGCACAAUAAGCGAGCACCCCCACACUUACAGACUACCCCCCAACCCGGGCUCCUCUGAGGCUGCACUGGUACAAAAGUUUGUUUUGCUGACAGCUAGGCCUAGACCCAAGGCACACACCAGUUAUCUCUUUCUAGCUAGUUACUACCAAAAGGACAGUGGGCAGGUGAGAUUUCAAAAUAGAUGAGACGCUUUAAUAUUUCACAGAAACUUCUCACGCAGAUGGCGGCUUCCCUAGGGCCGGCCACCGUUUACUCCGCCCAGCAGUAGAUGAUGUUCGCGGUGAUGCUUUUGCUUCCGGAGCUCUGCCUGGGAGGACGACAAAGGCAUGCAGGGACAACUUUUGGUGGCACGGUAAAUGUGUUGUCUAUCCAGGUACGAAGGCAAGCACAUCUGGGAAUGCUGUCUCAGGGUUAAAGUAUAGCCACCCUAGGUACUAAAACACCUUCGGUUUAGAAUGGCUUUCCUCGGAUAUGUAAAAUGCAAUUUAAUCACGUUAGAAGCUUUUGUUAGUGGUGGUGGCGUUGAUAAAGACUCUUAAUUGGCCAGAUUCUUUAAAUUGAAGAAGCUAUCAGAUGUGAGCUAAGACUAUUCGGUUUAAGACACUGGGACUCCUUGAAUCCCAGUCUGAACUGUGACAUUAAGAAUUCAUCACUCUCAAGGAUCCCUGGCAUUAAGUGGAUAAAUUUUUCUUAUAUGGUAGGAUCUGGUCUCCAGUUUUUUGUCUGUUUGGAGCUGGAGUACAUCUAUAGUUCUAAAUGAAAGAAGAUAAAAAGACUCCCUGCGUAAAUAUACUCCAGUGUAUGAGGUGCUUAGGACACAAGGAAGAGUCACAGGGCCUGAGAUGGGUUCCAAUCUGGCUGAGCACCAAAAUCUCUUGGGUAGAUUUCUGCACUCCUCCUCCAGAGCCAUGAUUUGUUGUAGGCAGGCCCUGGAAUCAGUUUCCCAGAGCCCAGAAAGGGAAAAGGGUUUUCUCAAAGUCACAACUCCAGUUGUUCAAAGAGAGCCUGUAGGCUGUUCCCAAACAGUGCCUUCCCAAUGGGUGGUGCUGCAUUUGAAAUUUGCUCCCAUCUGUUUCUUGCCUAGACCCAAGCUCUGCCAGGAGCACAGAGUGUUUGGAAGCCCAGUGUAGUAUUUCAGGAGUGCCAGGCCUGGACAAAAGGGAGAUACCUACUGUCAGCUGGGUCUGGUGAGUGAAUUCGGUUCAUCUUUGCAUAUUUCAAAGGAGAAAUAUGGACACAUAACAGCAGUUUAAUAUGAGACAGUCUAGAUUCAUGUUUGGACACUCAGUAGGAGUACUCAAUAGAGACAAAAAAGUCUGGGAGAAGAUAAAGCUGUGCCUUUGGGGAAGUGGCUCAUGACUGGGUGUCAGCCGUAAACCUAGCAGAGACUUUAGGCAGCCUGCAUCUCACCCAGUCUCCCACCUGCAGAGGGCCAGGUUGGCACCAUCUUUCAUUUCAGAAAGCAGAAGCAGAGCUGAGGGGCUUCCUGCAAGGGUUCAGCCAUCCUUCACCAACAACUGUGGGCCCUGGAGACAUGCUUUCUGUUAUACUGGUGAUGCAAACUCUGCAAACGGGUCCUGGGACUCCCAGGAGUAAAACUCUGCCCUGAGAGAGUUUCCAGGGAAAAACAAAACCAAGCAAACUAGCAAACAAAAAGAGAACAAAGUAUUCUCAUAACCCCAACUUUCGUAUCUUUAAUGAACGCAAGACUCACUUACUGAUAUUACCAUGUAGGUUUUCAAAACAGCUUCAAAUGAAAGCAAAAUCACAGGUAAUGUUUUGAAUAUGCAUUUUCUCACUCUUUGAUUUAAUGAAGUUGCUAGAAAACUGAUUCUUUCAAGUUUCUUGCGAGCUGCUUUAAAAUUCAUCCUUAAUAUAGUUAUUAGGGGUGAUGACUUAGUGCUGACAUAAAGUUGCUCUCCAGGGAACAAAUUAUUUUCCUCUGUAGGACUUGAAACUCUUAAAAUCCAAUUUGCUAUAAAAGCUUAUGAGGGGAAAAAAAAAUCAAUAGAACUUUUGCAGACCAAACUACAUUUUGUGCUAUAGCAUUCAGAGGAGUUUUGAAUUUUGUGCCCUUUAGUUUCUACAGCAUCAUUCAAAAUGUCAACUCUCUCUCACUUUUUGAGAAACAAGGAGACUGCCAACAUGAGGCUUACAUUCUGUGCAAAGAAAUCCCUGCUGGCCAACAAAGCUCAUUUCCAUUUGCAGGGAUUCUAUCACAAAACAACUUCAGGGCAAACACACUUCAAGUGCACAUAGAUUUAUGGCAGAAUCUUAGUAUUUCC
rnacentral:lncRNA from 1 species